rnacentral:rRNA from 1 species
AGAAACCAACAGGGAUUGCCCUAGUAACGGCGAGUGAAGCGGCAACAGCUCAAAUUUGAAAUCUGGCCCCCGGGUCCGAGUUGUAAUUUGUAGAGGAUGCUUUUGGUGCGGUACCUUCCGAGUUCCCUGGAACGGGACGCCAUAGAGGGUGAGAGCCCCGUCUGGUUGGACGCCAAUCCUUUGUAAAGCUCCUUCGACGAGUCGAGUAGUUUGGGAAUGCUGCUCUAAAUGGGAGGUAUAUGUCUUCUAAAGCUAAAUAUUGGCCAGAGACCGAUAGCGCACAAGUAGAGUGAUCGAAAGAUGAAAAGCACUUUGAAAAGAGAGUUAAAAAGUACGUGAAAUUGUUGAAAGGGAAGCGCUCAUGACCAGACUUGGGCCCGGUUGAUCAUCCAGGGUUCUCCCUGGUGCACUCUUCCGGCCCAGGCCAGCAUCAGUUCGCCGUGGGGGACAAAGGCUUCGGGAAUGUGGCUCCUCCGGGAGUGUUAUAGCCCGCUGCGUAAUACCCUGUGGCGGACUGAGGUUCGCGCAUCUGCAAGGAUGCUGGCGUAAUGGUCAUCAGCGACCCGUCUUGAAACACGGACCAAGGAGUCGUCUUCGUAUGCGAGUGUUCGGGUGUUAAACCCCUACGCGGAAUGAAAGUGAACGCAGGUGAGAGCUUCGGCGCAUCAUCGACCGAUCCUGAUGUUCUCGGAUGGAUUUGAGUAAGAGCAUACGGGGCCGGACCCGAAAGAAGGUGAACUAUGCCUGUAUAGGGUGAAGCCAGAGGAAACUCUGGUGGAGGCUCGCAGCGGUUCUGACGUGCAAAUCGAUCGUCAAAUAUGGGCAUGGGGGCGAAAGACUAAU